GGCAUGUAUGCUGAGUUGUUCUUUGACUCAUCUAUAAAGUUACAAUGGAAUGACAGAAUUAACAAUGUGCUAAAGACUUUCUAAGAUGUGAGAAAUUACCAGCUUUAAGAGGCAUAAAGGGUAUCUCUGCAGGUAUUUGCAGAUAUUUGCAGCUUUUAGCAAAUUGAGGGAAUUUGAAUUUCUAACAUCAAAAUGCAAUGUACAAAGGAGGAAAAAAUAUGACUCACCCAGCCCCCAAAUUUCAUAUUUAUAUCUCUGAUUGAAUCUGGUUUUAAAGGCGAAAUUUUAAAGGAAUAAAAGGCAAAAAAGAAAAAAAGAAAAUGAAGAAAGAGAAGAAAGGAAGGAAACUUUGCUCUCUUACUGGUAGACAAACUUGCAAGACCAGCACAAAAGAAAAAGAAAAUUUCUUUUUUUUUUUUUCUACUACAUUAACAGGACUCAAAUUCUGGAGGAACAGAAAGCAGACUAUAUGUGCAAUGCUAGUAUCUGUACAUUACAUAGAAAUUGUUCAACUUUUUUUUCUGCCAUUAGUUUUAUCAUCAGUUAAUACAGCAAAUCAUAAAAUAUGCAUUUAGCAUAUAAUUCUAGAAUUCCCCUCCAUUUCAUUAUUAAUUUUGUUGUUUUAUUUUGUUUUCCACAGCUAUUCCAGCUGUGGUGAAUUCAGGUUGUGAGUGACCAAAAACCCUAUGCGAUACAGUUUUGCUUUGCUCUUAUGUUUGUUUGUGCAGCACUCCAAUCUAGAUGCAGCAUUGUUACUAAUUUCAGACAAUUGUUCUGGCCUUUUAAAAAGCAGGUCCUUGUAAUUUUAGUAACACAGCAUCAGAGAUGUUAAAACAUACACAACAUAAUUCAACAAGGCCACAAUGAGUGCCAUUUUCUUCAUAUCUUGUUCAUUAACAUAAUGAAGUCUCCAUCUGAAGGGGAAAGGACAAGAAAGGAUGGGGUACAGGGGAAUUUUAGCAGUUAUCUUUCUCCCCUGGGCUGACCUAAAAAUCCCAUUAAAAAAAAAAAGUCUGAGAGUUUGUGUUUGUCUUUUGAGGACAGCAUAAAGAUUUAGGAGUACACACAUUAUUACCACUGCUUAUAUCAACUCAGAACAGUCAACAAGGUGUUAGCAGUUUUGUUGGUUUCAAUUUCUGUGUCAUCUUCUAUAGACUAGUGACCAAAUGAGCCGGUCCUUUUGAACUUCCCUCGGGAGGGGUCCCAUCUUUGUUUGGAGGAACUAUAAAUCCAUCACUGCUGCCGCGACCUAGCUGGUAGUAAGUAUGCAGCUGAUGGACGUGGUUUCUGGAGCCUAGGUUUGGCAUGCUUUUGUAGUAAACAUCUUCGGCAUCACCACAUUUGGCCGGUGGGGGUUCGGUCUGGGUGCUGGUGGUAACACUCUCUGUGGCGGCCACACCAGCCAGCGUCGGCAUGCUGGUAUAGAGAGAGUCUCUAUGGGGUGACUGGAGAUCUUCUGUGUGCUCGUUGGUUAGCAAAGGGAAAAAGCUCUCACUGUGGUCUUGGGGGAUCCGCCUUCUGGUAUAAUGGUGUGGCUGGUGGUUCUCGGUGGAGUAUACUCUUGGGGGCAGCAAAGGAGCAUCAGAUUCCUCAUGAAUGAGUUCCAGGCCCAAACUCUCCUCGUGGUUAAACGAGGUGGCAUCAUCCAGGACAAUGGCAUCAUCUUCCCUUCCA
rnacentral:lncRNA from 1 species